AGAUUGAACGCUGGCGGCAUGCCUAACACAUGCAAGUCGAAUGGGAGUAGCAAUACUCUAGUGGCGGACGGGUGAGGAAUACGUAGGAAUUUGCCCUUAAGUGGGGGAUAACCCGGGGAAACCCGGAUUAAUACCGCAUGACCUCGAAAGAGCAAAGUGGGGGAUCGGCAAGACCUCACGCUUUUGGAGAAGCCUACGUCGAUUAGCUAGUGGUGA
rnacentral:rRNA from 1 species